rnacentral:tRNA from 1 species
UCCCUGGUGGCUUGGUUGUUAAAGAAUCUGCUUGCAAUGCAGGAGACCCAGGUUCAAUCCUGGGCUGGGUU